rnacentral:rRNA from 1 species
UACAGAGGUCUCAAGCGUUGUUCGGAUUCAUUGGGCGUAAAGAGCGCGUAGGCGGCCUUGUAAGUCCGCUGUGAAAGUCAAGGGCUCAACCCUUGGAUGCCGGUGGAUACUACAGGGCUAGAGUCCGGAAGAGGAGAGUGGAAUUCCUGGUGUAGCGGUGAAAUGCGCAGAUAUCAGGAAGAACACCAAUGGCGAAAGCAGCUCUCUGGGACGGUACUGACGCUGAGACGCGAAAGCGUGGGGAGCGAACAGG